GCAGUCAGCUUACUAGCUAGUACCAUAACCAACUAUCCGCGCAAAGAAUUACAAGAGAAAAGCUUAAAAUUUAAAGGAAUUGGCGGUGUCCCACAUCAACCUAGAGGAGCCUGUCCUAUAAUCGAUAACCCACGUUUUACCUCACCCGCCAUUGCACAAACAACAGCCUAUAUACCGCUUUUAUCAACAAACAAA
rnacentral:rRNA from 1 species